rnacentral:misc_RNA from 1 species
CCCUGAUAAGGGUGAGGUCGGUGGUUCAAGUCCACUCAGGCCUACCAAAUUCGCUCCCGUGCUUUGUUGUGGCAAAGCUCGCAUACUUCAGUAUGCUUCGCUUCACCACGCCGGGCCCGGAAACGAAUUGGGGAUGAGGUUUAACUACACUGUAUGGGGCUAUAGCUCAGCUGGGAGAGCGCCUGCUUUGCACGCAGGAGGUCUGCGGUUCGAUCCCGCAUAGCUCCACCAUCACUGUGGAACGUUGAUAAAAAAAUACUUCAGAG